rnacentral:rRNA from 1 species
GGGUAGUUUGACUGGGGCGGUCUCCUCCCAAAGAGUAACGGAGGAGCACGAAGGUGGGCUAAUCACGGUUGGACAUCGUGAGGUUAGUGCAAUGGCAUAAGCCCGCUUAACUGCGAGAAUGACGGUUCGAGCAGGUGCGAAAGCAGGUCAUAGUGAUCCGGUGGUUCUGUAUGGAAGGGCCAUCGCUCAACGGAUAAAAGGUACUCCGGGGAUAACAGGCUGAUACCGCCCAAGAGUUCAUAUCGACGGCGGUGUUUGGCACCUCGAUGUCGGCUCAUCACAUCCUGGGGCUGAAGUCGGUCCCAAGGGUAUGGCUGUUCGCCAUUUAAAGUGGUACGCGAGCUGGGUUUAGAACGUCGUGAGACAGUUCGGUCCCUAUCUGCCGUGGGCGUUGGAAGAUUGAAGGGGGCUGCUCCUAGUACGAGAGGACCGGAGUGGACGAACCUCUGGUGUUCGGGUUGUGUCGCCAGACGCAUUGCCCGGUAGCUAAGUUCGGAAUUGAUAAGCGCUGAAAGCAUCUAAGCGCGAAGCGAGCCCUGAGAUGAGUCUUCCCUGAUACUUUAAGUAUCCUAAAGGGUUGUUCGAGACUAGAACGUUGAUAGGCAGGGUGUGUAAGCGUUGUGAGGCGUUGAGCUAACCUGUACUAAUUGCCCGUGAGGC